CCGCUCAGCAUUGUAGGUGACAUGCUUGUCAUAGUUCUCCAUCUGAGCCUCAAUGAAAUCUCUCUGCUGCUGCCUGAUGGUCUGGCUUAUGAGCCCAGGGAGGGCGUGGAUGCUACCAAUCAAAGUCUCUAAUUUUGUUUCCAAGGAGUGAUGUAAGAGCCUGCCCCAUCUUUGUUCAUGACAUUCAAGCCUCAUAUAUGUGUGCUGUCCAGCUUAAAUGUAUGCUAUAUGGUCUCCUAGGGGUAGAUUACACUGACAGAAAGGGACACAAACACGAUCCUGGAGGAAAUGGGAUGUGUGGUUGCUGGACAGAUGGACUGACCUCACUCACUUCCACGCCAUCUCACACCCUUCACCCCCUUGGACACCAUACCU